AUGAGUUGUUGGACGAAUUGGCGGGUUCCUGCUGGUUUUCCAAAUUGGACCUUCGCGCGGGCUACCACCAGAUACGGUUACGCGAAGAGGAUGAAUUCAAAACUGCCUUCAAGACUCACCAAGGCCAUUAUCAAUUCCGGGUCCUGCCCUAUGGAGUCACAGGGGGGCCACCGACCUUCCAGGGAGGUAUGA
rnacentral:rRNA from 1 species